UUUUUUUUUUUUUUCAAUUUAAGAGAGUUCCUCUGUGUAGCCCUGAUUGUCCUGGGUCUCUCUGCAGACCAGGCUGUCCUCAAGUUCAGAAAUCCUCCUGCCUCUGCCUCCCACAGGUUGGGAUUACAGAUGUUCAUUGUCACUGUCCAGAUUACUUUUUUUCCAGUUGUUAUGACUCAUUCCUACAGUCUGAGGGAGGUUGAGGAGGCAUGCUAAAUUUGUUUUGCUUUUCUGAGAGGCUCUCCUGUACCUAGGCUCUGUAGACCAGGUUGGUCUCAUUCCUAAGAGUUCCGUCAGCUUUGUCUCCUGAGUUCAGGAACUAAAGACAUGUGCCACCACUGCCCUGUGAGGGGACUUGCUAUUUAACUAAAAACAAAGACGCUUCCUUGAUAACCUGGGCCAUGGGGUUUUGCCCUGUGGUUGUUUAACUCUUCUGUGAUGGUUUCUGAAACUGGGGCAGGAAGACUGUUCUGUUAAAAUAGGACAAAUGUGGAGGCUGCAUUAGAGUUUUAUGUACAGAGACAGGACCUAUCAGGACUGACACUAGGGUAGCUGGGUAGAAUCAGCUAUGAUCUGGAUGAGCCAUUUUGCACCAUUCCUAGUCCACAGACUAUCUGCCUUGUGAUUUCUAUUUUGCUUUUUUGGGACAGGGUUUCUCUUUGCAGACCAGGCUGGCCUCAAACCCAGAGAUCUGUCUUCCUCUGCUUUGGCAGUGCUGGAGUGUGCCACCAGCACCCCACUAUCUGCCCUCUUCCCUUUUUUAACUUUACAUGUGUUGGUGUUUUGCCUGAGUAUGUGUCAGAUCCCCUGAAACCCGAGUUACAGUUCUGGGUUGUCCUGUAAGUGCUGGGACUUGAUCCUGGAUCCGCUGGAAGGGCAGCUACUGGUGUCAACUGCUGAGCUUUCUAUCCAGUCCUUUCUGCCUUGUUUUUAAGACGAUAUGUUCUUCAUUUUCAGUGUCGUCAUUUGGUCAGUAUAGGUAGUAACUAUUGUUC
rnacentral:lncRNA from 1 species